rnacentral:lncRNA from 1 species
UCACCAUAAGCUUUUGAUAGGGCUUUUGUCUUUCCCUUUCUCAUACAUUUUUCUGUCCUAGAGAAAGUGGGAGAUUUAAAAAUUAUGUAUUCUGUCUUUGCUUGGGUACUGUGAAGUCAGGUAUAUUUGUAGAGUUGGGUUAGCGAGGUAGUGACAAUUUCCUUUUAAAGAUGUAUAUCUUCUUUCUCCCCAAUUCUUUCCAAAGAAAUUACUGAUGCUGAGGAAGAUCCUGAGGAUAAAGCAACAAACAGUCUUGCUCUGUUGCCUAGGCUGAAGUGAAGUAGUGUGAUCUCGGCUCGCCACAACCUCUGCCUCCCAGGUUCAAGCGAUUCUCCUGCCUCAGCCUCCCGAGUAGCUGGAACUAUAGGUCAUCUAGGGGAAAACAGAAGUAUGAGGAUUGAGACUUCUUCUGAAAAUCAGUGAGUGGCUCUCUGCAGUGGUUACAGAAAUGCCCCAGCAUGGACUCCCUCCUGUAAACUGGCUCUGCUGUCCCAGCAGUGACGGAAAGCACUCAAUUUGUUUUCUCUUGGAAGAGACAGAGUGGCUGUCAGUUUACUGCAAUAUUUUGGACUGCCUGGAAAAUUCAAUGUACAACAGGAGAAAGGAGAGGCAGGAGACAGACUCUGGAAUAGAAGUCAAAGACAAAGAGGCUCGUAAACAUCAAGAUUCUGGGGCUAAUCUAGCCAUUCACAGCUUUAGAACCAUGGACAGUAAAACUUAAAAUAUAUACUAUGUUCUAACCACCACAAGGUUAUUCACUCUAGCAACUAAAAAAGCACUGGCCUCAGGAUUUGCAACAUUAAAAGUCACAGCUCAUCCACCAUCAGAUGCUAACUGACCCUGCUGUUCCACAAGCCAUAACUACAGCUUUGAUUGGACAAGAGUCUGGUUUCAGUAACUUUCUCCUGAUUAAGAAGACCACUGACCAUUGACUGGUUUUGCCAGUUUACAGAGAUUACACACUUACCUACCUUUGUAUGUAAAAUGAUCUUUUGAUAUAUAAAGCAUAACUGUAGCACAUUUAAAUGUUAAGUAGCCACCCCAAAGUGAACAUGGGUCAUAUGUUACGUGCAUGUUUGUUCAAUAGGCAUGUGUCAGGACCACCUUCAUGAAUAUUCAUAGCUCCUCCUGUAACCAGUUAAAUAUAUAUGUUUAGCCAACCUCUUCAGCAUAAAGCUCCCACCCCAAGCCCUCCUUUGAAGGGCCUGUCUCUAGUUUUGCCUGGAUGGCCACCUUGCAGGCUGUAACCCUUUGGAAGAAAUAAAGUCUCCUCUCUCCUUUUCAAAACUUAAAAAUUGUGAAUUUUU